rnacentral:rRNA from 1 species
CAAUAGCGUAUAUUUAAGUUGUUGCAGUUAAAAAGCUCGUAGUUGGAUUUCGGUUGAGAACGGCCGGUCCGCCGUUUGGUGUGCACUGGCUGGUUUCAACUUCCUGUAGAGGACGCGCUCUGGCUUCACGGCUGGACGCGGAGUCUACGUGGUUACUUUGAAAAAAUUAGAGUGUUCAAAGCGGGCUUACGCUUGAAUAUUUCAGCAUGGAAUAACACUAUAGGACUCCUGUCCUAUUUCGUUGGUCUCGGGACGGGAGUAAUGAUUAAGAGGAACAGUUGGGGGCAUUCGUAUUUCAUUGUCAGAGGUGAAAUUCUUGGAUUUAUGAAAGACGAACUUCUGCGAANGNAUUUGCNAAGGAUGUUUNCAUUA